AUCUUUGCGCUUGGGGCAAUGAUGCAGCUAGUGAGGUUAUACCGAGGCGCGUCAAUUGCUGGUUGAAAACUAUUUCCAAACCCCCUCUUUGGCCCUUUGAGGCCACUGAGAAUUUCUGGAAGGGAUCCCUCUCC
rfam:Triticum aestivum genome assembly, contig: Triticum_aestivum_CS42_TGACv1_scaffold_578536_7BL